rnacentral:rRNA from 1 species
UGGGGAAUAUUGCGCAAUGGGCGAAAGCCUGACGCAGCAACGCCGCGUGAGCGAUGAAGGCCUUCGGGUUGUAAAGCUCUUUCGGUUGGGAAGAAGGGCGUACGUAAUAAAACGGCGUGCGUUUGAUGGUACCAAAAGAAGAAGCACCGGCUAACUUCGUGCCAGCAGCCGCGGUAAUACGAAGGGUGCGAGCGUUGUUCGGAAUUACUGGGCGUAAAGGGUUCGUAGGCGGGACCUUAAGUCAAGUGUGAAAUCCCUAGGCUCAACCUAGGACGUGCACUUGAAACUGAGGUUCUUGAGUACUGCAGAGGAUGAUGGAAUUGCUGGUGUAGGAGUGACAUCCGUAGAGAUCAGCAGGAACACCGGAGGCGAAGGCGAUCAUCUGGGCAGUUACUGACGC